GAUGAACGCUGGCGGCGUGCCUAAUACAUGCAAGUCGAACGAAACUUCUUUAUCACCGCUUGCUUGCACUCACCGAUAAAGAGUUGAGUAGCGAACGGAUGAGUAACACGUGGGCAACCUACCCAAAAGAGGGGGAUAACACUUGGAAACAGGUGCUAAUACCGCAUAACCAUAGUUACCGCAUGGUAACUAUGUAAAAGGUGGCUAUACUACCGCUUUUGGAUGGGCCCGCGGCGCAUUAGCUAGUUGGUAGGGUAAAGGCUUACCAAGGCAAUGAUGCGUAGCCGAAUUGAGAGGUUGAUCGGCCACAUUGGGACUGAGACACGGCCCAAACUCCUACGGGAGGCAGCAGUAGGGAAUCUUCCACAAUGGGCGAAAGCCUGAUGGAGCAACGCCGCGUGGGUGAAGAAGGUCUUCGGAUCGUAAAACCCUGUUGUUAGAGAAGAAAGUGCGUGAGAGUAACUGUUCACGUUUCGACGGUAUCUAACCAGAAAGCCACGGCUAACUACGUG
rnacentral:rRNA from 1 species